AACGAACGCUGGCGGCGUGCUUAACACAUGCAAGUCGAACGCGAAAGGGACUUCGGUCCUGAGUAAAGUGGCGCACGGGUGAGUAACGCGUAGAUAACCUGUCUUCAUGUCUGGAAUAAUACGCCGAAAGGGGUACUAAUACCGGAUAUUCUUGCUUUUCAUAAGUUAUGCAAGCAAAGGUGGCCUCUGCAUAUGCUACUGCAUGAAGAGGGGUCUGCGUACCAUUAGCUGGUAGGUGGGGUAAUGGCCUACCUAGGCGACGAUGGUUAGCGGGUCUGAGAGGAUGAUCCGCCACACUGGCACUGGAACACGGGCCAGACUCCUACGGGAGGCAGCAGUGAGGAAUAUUGCGCAAUGGGGGAAACCCUGACGCAGCGACGCCGCGUGAGUGAGGAAGGCCUUCGGGUCGUAAAGCUCUGUCAAGAGGAAAGAAGUGUACAAUGGCUAAUACCUGUUGUAUUUGACGGUACCUCUAAAGGAGGCACCGGCUAACUCCGUGCCAGCCGCGGC
rnacentral:rRNA from 1 species